AUGAAAUGCAUACUUGAUUUAUCUUUGCAGUUGCAGAUGAAGUUAGGCAAAUAGAUUAGAAUUACUAGUCUCAUAAUAAUAGGAUCUAGGGCUCAAUUUUGUAGAGAAGCCUCUCACUUUAUAAGGUCAGUGGUUAGAAUUGCAAUACAAAAUCUUAACUCAAAAAUUUUAUUCUAUGAAAAAAAUGUUUAAUAAAUCAUUACAAGCAUAUCUUUUUUGAUAGACUGAAAUUAAAUUUAGUUGCAUGUGUAGUUCACUCCUAUAAGACAGAUUCCUAACUUAAGAUUGUAUAUCCAUAUUUUAUUUGAUUGGCUAGACUUAUUAGCACAGCCCAUUCCAGCAGAGCUAAAAAUUACUAAAACACCCCCUUCCUACAAUCAAAGAUAAGCGUUUACAAGUGAUGUCCUCUGCUACCCUCUUUUAUCAUGUUUUUCAUUUUCUUUUAAAACAUCAAUACCAAUGUUUCAAGGCCUGG
rnacentral:misc_RNA from 1 species